AUACCUACCUGUCAGAGGAGAUACCACGAUUCCUAAGAUUGCUUUCCCAGGGCAAGGCUUAUCCAUUGCAAGUCGGAUGUACUGACCCCUGAGACACCUCCAAAUAUGGGAAACUCUACUGCAGAAUUUGUGGUAGUGUGGGACUGUGUUCAUGCUCUCCUCUG
rnacentral:snRNA from 1 species